GUACACAAAAAUGCACAUACUGUGAGCUCGAUGAGUAGGGCGGGACACGUGGUAUCCUGUCUGAAUAUGGGGGGACCAUCCUCCAAGGCUAAAUACUCCUGACUGACCGAUAGUGAACCAGUACCGUGAGGGAAAGGCGAAAAGAACCCCGGCGAGGGGAGUGAAAAAGAACCUGAAACCGUGUACGUACAAGCAGUGGGAGCCUCUUAAUGGGGUGACUGCGUACCUUUUGUAUAAUGGGUCAGCGACUUAUAUUCUGUAGCAAGGUUAACCGAAUAGGGGAGCCGAAGGGAAACCGAGUCUUAACUGGGCGUUAAGUUGCAGGGUAUAGACCCGAAACCCGGUGAUCUAGCCAUGGGCAGGUUGAAGGUUGGGUAACACUAACUGGAGGACCGAACCGACUAAUGUUGAAAAAUUAGCGGAUGACUUGUGGCUGGGGGUGAAAGGCCAAUCAAACCGGGAGAUAGCUGGUUCUCCCCGAAAGCUAUUUAGGUAGCGCCUCGUGAAUUCAUCUCCGGGGGUAGAGCACUGUUUCGGCAAGGGGGUCAUCCCGACUUACCAACCCGAUGCAAACUGCGAAUACCGGAGAAUGUUAUCACGGGAGACACACGGCGGGUGCUAACGUCCGUCGUGAAGAGGGAAACAACCCAGA
rnacentral:rRNA from 1 species